rnacentral:rRNA from 1 species
UGCAAGUCGAACGGUAACAGGAAACAGCUUGCUGUUUCGCUGACGAGUGGCGGACCGGUGAGUAAUGUCUGGGAAACUGCCUGAUGGAGGGGGAUAACUACUGGAAACGGUAGCUAAUACCGCAUAACGUCGCAAGACCAAAGAGGGGGACCUUCGGGCCUCUUGCCAUCGGAUGUGCCCAGAUGGGAUUAGCUAGUAGGUGGGGUAACGGCUCACCUAGGCGACGAUCCCUAGCUGGUCUGAGAGGAUGACCAGCCACACUGGAACUGAGACACGGUCCAGACUCCUACGGGAGGCAGCAGUGGGGAAUAUUGCACAAUGGGCGCAAGCCUGAUGCAGCCAUGCCGCGUGUAUGAAGAAGGCCUUCGGGUUGUAAAGUACUUUCAGCGGGGAGGAAGGGAGUAAAGUUAAUACCUUUGCUCAUUGACGUUACCCGCAGAAGAAGCACCGGCUAACUCCGUGCCAGCAGCCGCGGUAAUACGGAGGGUGCAAGCGUUAAUCGGAAUUACUGGGCGUAAAGCGCACGCAGGCGGUUUGUUAAGUCAGAUGUGAAAUCCCCGGGCUCAACCUGGGAACUGCAUCUGAUACUGGCAAGCUUGAGUCUCGUAGAGGGGGGUAGAAUUCCAGGUGUAGCGGUGAAAUGC